UACGUAGGGGGCGAGCGUUGUCCGGAAUUACUGGGUGUAAAGGGAGCGUAGGCGAGGUCGCAAGUCAGGUGUGAAAUGCAGGGGCUCAACCCCUGAACUGCACUUGAAACUGUGGUUCUUGAGUGAAGUAGAGGUAAGCGGAAUUCCUAGUGUAGCGGUGAAAUGCGUAGAUAUUAGGAGGAACAUCAGUGGCGAAGGCGGCUUACUGGGCUUUAACUGACGCUGAGGCUCGAAAGCGUGGGGAGCAAAC
rnacentral:rRNA from 1 species